UACGUAGGGUGCAAGCGUUAAUCGGAAUUACUGGGCGUAAAGCGUGCGCAGGCGGUUUUGUAAGUCUGUCGUGAAAUCCCCGGGCUCAACCUGGGAAUUGCGAUGGAGACUGCAAGGCUAGAGUGCGGCAGAGGGGGAUGGAAUUCCGCGUGUAGCAGUGAAAUGCGUAGAUAUGCGGAGGAACACCGAUGGCGAAGGCAAUCCCCUGGGCCUGCACUGACGCUCAUGCACGAAAGCGUGGGGAGCAAACAGG
rnacentral:rRNA from 1 species